AUGGGUCGCAUCGGGACCGAUCCUUUAAAUCGUGUCUCUGAAUUAUUUGAUCAUGAAAAUGGCUCGUGGGAUGUGGAUUUGGUUCGAAGAAAUUUUCUUGCACCAGAUGCAGACGCAAUUUUGAAUAUACCUUUAAGAGCGAAUGGUGGUGAAGAUUAUCUUGCAUGGGACUUGGAGAGGUCCGGUGUCUAUUCUGUUAAAACAGCUUAUCGUGCUCUAGUGACUCGGAAAGAGCGUUCAGCUCUAGAGGAAGGAACGAUAACGGAGUCUUCAACUUCAGAUAGACCCAUGUGGAUCGCCUUGUGGAAAUUAAAGGUUAUUCCCAGAGUCCGUGUUUUC
rnacentral:rRNA from 1 species